rnacentral:tRNA from 1 species
GCGCCUGUAGCUCAGUUGGAUAGAGUGGCAGAUUCCGAAUCUGUAGGUCGGGGGUUCAAUUCCCUCCAGGCGCA